AUUAUUGUAGAAGAAAGGUCACAGAUGGGAAGAAAUGGAGGCCAGAGAAGAUGGACUGUCCUUCUCCGCAUUGCCUCUUCAUUAUUUAUGGCUGUAAAGAUUUGGUCCUCUGGAAUCAACAACAUUAAAAGCAUCCCCACGGUCACCUGAUCAAAAUUCAGAUGCUUGACAACGGGCUCGCACUUACGACGAUUUGCAGCGUCCGUUUUGCAACCUCCAGACAAGCAAAGCCAGAUUCAGUCAACAGCCCUGUUAUUAAUUGAACAACUGCAGGGAUUCACUUAACAAACAUGCUCAAUCUAUCUCGUGUUUGUGUGUUGCUGAACUCUCUCUAGAGAUCCUCGUAUAAACUGACUGAAGCUCCUGGGAAAAAGAUGGAAGGAAUAAAGGGCACAUGUAAAGAAUACUACAAUUGCCUCUCAAUGCAAAGGAGGGAGAAGAGCUGAGAUAGUAUUCAACUGGUUCAGACCGGUUCGGGCGAACCGGUAGUGGCGAUCUACUGCUGAGCCCGCCCACCCACCUGGGCGCAAUUCCAUUCUAUAUCGCUGUGUUUUUGAUGCCGCACGUAUGCGCGCACAGUGCAUGUGAGCAAAUUGCUGUGUUGUUUGAUGUCACACGCAUGUGCAAAUGGCACGCAUGUGCGAAUUGACAUGUUUUGUGAUGCCGCAUGCAUUUGCACGUGUGUGCGCACUCACAUUUCUGGUGCUGGGCGAACCGGUUGCUACAGUAUCUGAAGCCCGCCUCUGGAAAAGAGGGUUGGAACGUGAGUUCUCAAAACAUGAGAACAGCAUUUAUAGAAAAAAUAAUAAUAUGCAUACAUAUCUGUUAAAUCCAAGAGGCUGAGCCAGAUAAAACAAUCCUUCUGUUCUAGCUACUCUUUCAUUCUGAUUAAAUAGCCCAAAUAAUAGCGUUGCAGAGGAAAGCUCUCCAAGAUGAAAUAUGUCAUUCUGAAAAGGCUUUUGAAAUGCUACUUGUUCGGAUAGAUGUUUUCUUAUAAAGGAGGAGGCAGGGGAUUUAAAAUAUACUCUGAGGAUAUAACGCUGUGCAUUGUUGCUUGAAACCAAACUUUAAGGCAAUGUUGUAAGAAUACAUCUGCACUUUCUUUUCUCAGAAUACUUGACCCCAGGUUAAAGUAGUUAUAGAUUGGUUGAGUAGAUUUUUUUUUUCCCUUGAAAAAAGUAUUUACAUUGUUCAGUCAACUUUUGGGAGAGAGAGAGGGGAAAAAAAUGAUCCAGUACUAUUGUUGUCAUUCCCCUUUUUGCCCUUCCUUUCCUCUGGUUUACUCACAAGGUGAAUUCCAUGCAACGAUGAAAGGCAGACUUGAAUGUGAGAUAAUAUUACUCUCAGCAAGUAAAAAUCAUUAAGUUAAGCAAAGGGAAUCACCCUGUUGCAGCAAUGCAAAUGUAAAAGGGGAGUCUUUGCAGAUUUUACUCUGCUAAUCGUUGCUGACUAUAGGAAGCAGUGCUCGUCUCUAUUUCAAGGGCAUUAAGACAGGACUGUCCAAAGAUAUUUCUAUGGUCAUGUGGCCCGCAUGAUGUCACAUAGCGCUGUUACCUUCCCAUCAAAAUGGUACUUAUUUAUCUACUUGCAUUUGUAUGCCUUUGAACAGCUAGGUUGGCAGGAGCUGGGUGAGGAUAGGAACUCACCCUGUCGUGUGGAACGUGGGUCUCAAACCUAGACUGCUGGCUUUCCAGCCAACAAGCCCAGUGUCUUACCCAUUGAGCCACCAUAUGGCCCCCAGUACAAAUGUUCAGACAUAAGUUCUAAUGGUUUUCAGGAUACAUGUAGAUAUGACUUUCCCUGAAUAACUUCAAAGUCUUCAAGCCACAAAAAAAUAUUGUCUAAAGUUUUAAAAUGGAUAAACAGAGUCUUUCAGUAGCAUGACCUCAUAACAAAUGAUGCAAUGUUAGUUAAUAAGUAGGGAGACAUCAUUUAGCCAAUAUCAAUCAUUGAGAAGCCACUUCAUAUGUUUCCAGUCUCCCAGUUGGUUCAUGCAGAAAUAUUUUAUGGGUUGCCUGUGUCAUCUCCUAGGUCUGGACUAAAUGGACUAAACUCUGUGGCUGAGUGGAGAUUUGAAUCUGGAUCACGCCCCACUUUGUCUAUUUAUUUCACUCUGACCACCUCAUCACUGCAACCAGUUCCCGUUCUGAUUAAAAGUCUCAUUAACGAAAACAUUGGACUUUGUGUUUUAAAAAUAACUUUUGUACAGCAAGAAAGAGAGAGCAAUUCUUCCUUUUUUUCUAGUGGGGGUGAUUUUCCACAUUUAGGAAACAAGCUCGCGUUAAGACCAAUGCAGUUUUCAUUAGCCUUACAAGCAGUGGUGAACUCCUCCUCAGAUCGCCACUGGUUCGCUGCCCAUGCAUGCGCAGUGCGAGCCAAAUGCGUGCUGCGCAUGGAAAAAGAAGACUUCCCUAGGUAAGUCGCGGUGUGGCUCAGGCUGUAAGAAGCCUGUUAUUAAACACAGCUGCCUGCAAUUACUGCAGGUUCAAGCCCCACCAGGUCCAAGGUUGACUCAGCCUUCCAUCCUUUAUAAGGUAGGUAAAAUGAGGACCCAGAUUGUUGGGGGGGGCAAUAAGUUGACUUUGUAAAUAUACAAAGACUAUGAGACUAUUGCCUUACACACUGUAAGCCGCCCUGAGUCUUCGGAGAAGGGCGGGAUAUAAAUGUAAACAAAAAAAAAAAGUAGAACAGUGAGGUGGGGAACAGCUGUGCUGCAUGAUUUAGCUUUGCUAGAAAGCAGGAUUUCCUGCUUUCUAGCAAAGUUAAACUGCACAGCUCAGCUGAUCGUCAGAAAUACCGGUUCAGACGAACCAGUAGCUUUUUUAAACUAUGGGUUUGCUCAAACCAGUAGUUUUUAUCACUACCGGUUCGCCCGAACCAGAGCGAACUGGUAGCAUUUCACCCCUGCUUACAAGGUAGAUACAAAUGAAUAAAUUUAAUUCCCUAGUGCACCAUGUCCCAAGAUUCAUUAUUCAUCAAAUAUGAGAAAAAAGAAUGAAACAACUCUGCGUUUAUUUUUUUUACUUUCACAUAAAGUAACAUCCCCCCUAUUUUUAUUCUCAUUGAUCUUACAAGUUACAAACAAAAUACAUAAGGUAACAUAAUCAUAGGUUUGUUUUGCAGUGACCAUUCUCACGCUUUCAAUUAAUAAUCAAAACAAAGAAAUCUUUACUCCAGCAUUCAAGGCAUCCAUAGAAUUACCCAGCUCUGGUAAGAGGGAUGUGUGUGUAUGUGAGCUUAAAUCCCAAGGGAGAGUCCACUGCACAGAUGCUCUCUCCAAUCCACACUGAUGCCAUCUCUGGUGUCAAAUAAAAAUGUACAGCACAACAGAGAGAUGAGACCAAAACUGUCAGCAUCAAUUGGGAUUGCACAAAUCCUAUUAGGAAAAUGGAUGCACCAAGAUUCAAUUUUUGGAUUCCAAAGAGGCUCAAACUGUUGACCUUGUGAAGUCUUCCUAGGAUAGCAGAGCAAAAGUCCAUAGGUUUGUGCAGAUCUGUGUUUUUUUUAAAGGAAAAAAACCCCACCUCUUUGUUUCCCCCUUUCCUCUACAUUCACACACACACACACACACACACACACACACACACACACACACACACACACACACCUCUGCAACGUACACAAUUGAAAAUAAAUAAUUUGCAAAACCAACUUUCUUUUGUCUGUGCACCAGUGUAGCUUAAAAUCACCCAGAAGCUCAAUUGGGUACAGUAUUUUUCCAGUUAACUGUUUAAAGUAAUAAGGAUUCUGAAAUUUGGUGAGCCACCUCAAAUGAAACACGCUAUCCAUAUAAGGUUAAAUAUGUAUAGUAAGUUAUAGUUAGCUUCAGCAGGCAGCAGGCAUCUGUCAGAUGCCCGUUUGACAAAUUGUUCAGGUUUGGAUUUAUACUUUGAGAAUGAUGUUAAACAAUUAGAAUAUCUUUAAGGCAGGGGUGAAAUCUAAAAAUUUUCCCUACCGGUUCUGUGGGUGUGGCUUAAUUGGUGGGCAUGGAUUGGUGGCCAGGUGACCAGGUGUGCAUGGCCAGUAACAAUAAAUAAUAAAAAUAAUAAACAAAGUAUUAUUUUGUUUAUCCGAACCGGGAGCAUUUCACCCCCGCUUUAAGGUAAAGGUAAAGGUUCCCCUUGCACAUAUGUGCUAGUCGUUCCCGACUCUAGGGGGUGGUGCUCAUCUCUGUUUCAAAGCCAAAGAGCCAGCGCUGUCUGAAGACGUCUCAGUGGUCACGUGGCCAGCAUGACUAAACGCCAAAGGCUCAUGGAAUGCUGUUCCCUUCCCACCUAAGAUGGUCCCUAUUUUUCUACUUGCAUUUUUUACGUGCUUUUGAACUGCUAGGUUGGCAGAAGCUGGGACAAGUAAUGGGAGCUCACCCCGUUACGCGGCACUAGGGAUUCGAACCACUGAACUGCCAACCUUUCAAUCGACAAGCUCAGCAUCUUAGCCACUGCGCCACUGUGCCCUUUAUAGAGUGUGUUUAGAGGAGGACUAAAGGAUUCAGCGAAGGUCCAAAUCAAAGGCAAACAGAGCUGAGGACUGCUAGAUCUUGUUCUAUUUUAUAUAGAUCUCACCACUAACUGAUAUAAAAUUAAAGGAAUACAAUAAAGGUACACAUAAAUUAGUAGGUAUACACGAUGCCAACCUGUUGUAUGAUCUAUAUGGAGAGAUGGUUAAUAUAUGCAAGAACAAAGCUACAUUAGAACUACUAUUGGACUUUCUUGCAUUCUUGAAAAAUGAUAAAGUUUGACACAUUUGAAAAAACCACUGACAAUUAUCCCGAACCAACGUAAUUUUAAGCUAUGGGUUUUUUUUGCCAAUAAAGACAACCUUGAACAAACAGAGUUGUCUUGUUAUUGCCAAAUGUUCUUUGCCAGGAAGAGUCAACAUUAAGGUAUGGUAUAUGGCAUGUUCAAUCUUUAUUUAUUUAAUUGGAUUUCUAGGGCUGUCCAUCUUAUA